GCUUCGCAACUCAUUUCCUCCUCUCUCUCGCUCUCGCUCUCGCUCUCUCUCACGGACGCACGCAAACACAAUCGCCGACGAUCUUCCCUCACUUCAUUCGCUUACUCUACUCUGCGUAGUCGAAACCUCUCUCUCACUUUGAUCGUUCUUCGUGUUGAUUUUGCAGAGCCGAUUCAGUCUCACACGACCGAUUCCUGGUGAGUGAUCGCUCCUCAUUCCCAUUUCGGUCGUGAAUUCGGCAUUAGAGCGCAUCUAGUUGCCCGACCCGAUCGAUUCUGACUAGCCCUCUUCGGCAUGGCGCCCCCACUUGCCCGCCAGCUACUCCUGGCCCAACAGGAGUUCAGAGAGGCCCAAGCUAAGUUUGUAGAUGCCAAGCAUCGUAACAACCGUGCCCUAAACAAGAAGCGAUACUUGCUUCGUGCCGCUAAGCAAAGGCGCGAUGCGGCUGUAUUGAGGUUGGAGAGAGUGGAAGGAGAGAUCAAAAACAAGCAAUGUCUGUUCCUGCACAAUGUGGAGCAGGUCCACGCGGUGGUCGAGCUUCUGGAGAACCUCCACCACCGUGGGCGCCUCCACCGUGUGGAGAUCAAGUGCCGCGAGGUGGAGGUAGCCCGGGAGAUGCAGCAGGCUCUACAAGAGUAUGGAUUUAACCGCAGGGAGUCCUAUGAUCUUCCUCCGGCCUGAUGGCGACACAAGCCUCAUCCGUUUGGUUGUCUUGAUCUUCAGUACUUUCUGACAUUUUGAGGGAGCCGGAGGUCAUUCCUUCCCACUGGAUAGUAAUAUUGAACAAUGAUGUCCAUAUACACUUUCUAAUUCCUUCCCACUGGAUAGUGAUAUUGAAUAAUGAUGUCCUGUUAUAUACACUUUCUAAUUUUUCUUGAACACUAUUAGUUGGAUUUUGAUAUUGAACAUUGAUUUCCCUAGAAUCACGAUUGAUGAUUGAGUUACUCUCAA